rnacentral:tRNA from 1 species
GGGCCCGUGGCUCAGUCUGGUAGUUGCCCUGAAGGGUAGCCAAAAGCAAUCGGCUCUUAACCGAUCGGUCGAGGGUUCGAAUCCCUCCGGGCCCG